UCCAAGCGGUGAGACCCGGGCAAUCGAUAUUAUUUGCGAUUAAAUAACUAUUGUAAAACAAUGUAACGCAAAUACUAUCGAGCUAAUGGCUGCCUAAAUGGAAUCAAAAUUUUCAUAUUCAAUUAUUGGUUUAUUUUAGUGCUUUUGGCUUUACUUUCUAAUGAUUAAAUAAUAAAUUUAUCCAAAUAUUGAAUAUUUUUUUAAGAUGAUAUUUUUAAAUAUAGAAUUCAUAAAAAUCAUUUAUAAUAUACGUCGACGUUAUCAUUAUUUGUCAACGCUGAAAGUUUUUAAUGGAAAAGAUCACUUAUCCUUUAUGUUGUCGGUCUUUUACAAUUUACAAGGUCGUAAAGAUAAAAUUGCAUGGUGAAAAGCACUUUGUGAAAAUCAAGAAUAAGAUCUUGUAAACGUGAUUUUGAUGGAAUACGAAUAUCAAUGAUUUUUGAAUGAUCCGAUGAAUGAUCCUUUCAUCUUUAGAAAUUUGUUCGUGCACUCUUGAGAACACUAUAGCCAACGGACAUUACUUACGUAUUAAAAAGACGGACUUGUGAUAUUGCGUAAACGUUUAUGCGUACAAGCAGAGAAAGAGAGAGAGAAGGAUAGAUAGAGAGAGAGAGAGAGAGAGAGAGAAUGAGUGAGUGGGCGUACACAGCGGCGAUGAAACGCGAGAAGCUCGACGCAAUUUGCGUGGCGAUAUAUAUCGACCUCGUCUGGUUAUAUCGUUUCGUAAAAAAGAUCUCUCGUAGUUAACUGGCAGAUAAUUUCAUGGCAAUUUCAGCGGUUACUUCGUACCGCCACCCUUUCUCUCUCUCUCUCCCCCCUAUCUCUUUCAUGCUUUCUUCGUUUUCUCAGUCCCUCUCACUUUCUCAUACACCCACUAAUCGAGCUCGUUUACCUUCUACAAGCAUUCACGCACCUUCAUUUUUCUCUUACUUGUAGAUUGUAAGGAACGUUUUAUUCUCACGUGAUAUGUAGUACAAGUAUGUAUUUAAAUCAGAAGUUUUAUGAUCUAGAUUAGAACAAAUUCUUUUUAAGAAAUCUCAAAAAAAUUCUGUUCAUUUUAUUUGAUGUGUUAAAUCUUUUAUAUUUAUUAUAUAAAUUUAUACGUAUAGAAAGAGAGAGAAAGAGAGGGAAAGAAAAAAUUUGCUAUCGACAAAACAUGUGAGAGAAGGUAUUCAAAUUGCCUGAAGCUUCGAUAUAUAUCUCUUAGUGGAAAUUCAUUUUGAAAUACUAAGAAACAUACGUCUCACUUGACGAGUUUCGAUGAAGUCGGCAUGGAAAUGAGUCUCUCGGUCGUUCGCCUUCAUCGAUCAUCAUUAUCACCUGUUAGCGAUCAUUACACACCGUUCUCGUUACCAAAUUAUCUGAUGAACUAUAGAAAAUAGAAGAAAUCAUUUAGUUCUUUUUUCCUAUUUUUUUUUUCUUAAAUUAUGUUUCUUUCGUUAACUGUAAGUGUUUGGAUAGAAAUAAUUAUUUAGAUCAGUUUUUAUUUAUUUCGAUUGCGAAUGUUUUAGAAAUUAUUUUGAUGGAAAAUUUCAAUGUUCGCAUCUUAAUGGGUUCCUGUAAAUUAAUAGCUUAUAAAACAAGACCAUGGUCUGUUUCAAGUUGGCAGAUUCAUAGAAUCUUCUUCGUAUGUAAUCGUUUAUUUUAUUUACGGAUUUCUCUUCUCUAUCAUGAAUUCUUCUAUUUCGAGUAGUCAAGUACUCCCUGGCGCCUGGUACUGAUCCCUCCGGCAACGGCAAAUUUAUUUUUCGAUACUCGAGUGGUCGACUGACGUUUGCGAGGAAGAAAAAAAGAAAAGGAAGAAAAAGAAAAAGAAAAAGAAAAAGAAAAGAAAAGAAAAGAAAACGAAAGAAAAUGUUUGCUGGUCUCGAUGGCAAAACGAAACCAGAUUGCGUUUCGUCUGUCGAUAAAUUCUUUUUUAUAUUCUCACCAUCACGUACGAGAAAAAUAAUUACGUGUAGAGUUAUAUAGACAGGAGCUAUUUGAAACCAUAUUUUUAUCAAAUUCGUCGAAUAUUCGUCAAGUUAUUUUUCAAGCAGGAAAACUUCCGGUUCGUCGACCUUUCUUUUUUUUCUUUUUUUUAACACGACAGAACGUUACGUGACUUGGCAAAUAAGAAUGAAAAAGGAAGGAGAAAAGAGAAUUGCGUUGAAACAUGCGAUUAAUGGUGCCAAUUCAAUUAUCAGAGACGACGAGCUUGCCAGCUCGUAAAUCGUUUUCGCUCGUCGGACUCGUCAUUCUUGAAGAAGGUGUUCGAGAAACGAUCCUACAACGGUGUGAUCAUCGCAGUGAGAGAAAGAAAAAGAAAAAAGAAGAAGAAAAAGAGAAGAAAAGAAAAGAAAAGAAAAGAAGGAAGGAAAAGUAUAACAUAUUUUACGAUCGACUCUGACAAACGAGUUGAGGACCCCUGUCGAGGAAGACUUCCUCUUGAACGCCCAUGCCCUACGCCCACGUAUCCAGACUCGAGGUAUCGCAAACGAGUCGUUAAAAUCUCAUUGAACUCUUUGUCUCGUUGGAUCAAAGAGUUCAAUGGGAAUUAGAAGCUUAGAGAGAGAAGAGAGAGAGAAAGAAAGAAAAUGGAGCGCGUUUCUUGUCCAAAAAAUUUACAAAUGUAAUAGUAUAGUAAUAUUAUUACAAUUUGUAAUAAUUUUAUUUAUGUUAUAAUUUAAAAUAAUUUAAUGAAUUCAUUGAAAAAAUUGUUAUCAUUUUUUUUUUACUAGUAAGCAUUUUUGAAGGACGAUCUAAAAUUUGUAGAUAUUACGAUCGAAUGUUAAUACAGACUUUGUUCUCGUGAAAGCGUAAAUAUCUCAUGCUAAUCUCUCUCUCUCUCUUUCUCUACUCGGAUUCCUUCUUCUAUCUUGUUCGCAAUUCGUGGAGGGAAACACGAAGACGAAGACGAAGACGGAGACUUCGGGAGACUCUUAACUCAUGGAUGUAAGGAUCGUGGGAUAGAAGAGCUCGAAUAAAGCUUGUCACAUGUCACCUGCGAAAGGGAUACUUGUAGGAUUCUUACUAUGGAUGGAUAAUUAACGAUAGUGUUAGACAAGAUUUAUGGCAAAAUAUAUUCGUUAACAUUUUUUAUGGGAUUUAUAUGAAGAUAUGAAGAGGAAUUGCAAUAUAGAUUAUUAAGCAAAUUAUAAAUAUAAAAAGAUAUUUCAAGAGAUAAUCUUUCUUCUCUCUUGGUCGAUAAAGAUCGAAGGAAGCGAUACGCAGGCGAUAGGUUUUGACAGAAAGGCAAAGUAAGAUCAUCGAUCCAGCAGACGCAGGCGCAAACAGGUUGCUGUGGUUGAGAGCGCGCCAGGGGAAGAUCGUGAAAGCACGAACAGGUUCGCAGGAGGUUCCAGAGAAGAGUGAGCACGCCCGCGAACAGGUUCGAGUAACGUCCUCUCGUGAGUAUAUAGGAACAAAAGAUAAUAGCUCGCGCAUACUCGGACCAAGCGAAUGUAUUCUCGAGUAUCAAGUCAAAAUGAUGAUGAUGGGUUUGAACGACGUCGACGCCUCGAAGCUAAAGAGAGAAGAAAAGGAGAUGAGUUUCAGAUAUAUGUGCAAUGAGAAAAAGAAAUAAAGAGAACGAGAAAGAGAGAGAGAGAGAGAUGACAGAUUAUACAAUAUUGCCAGCUAACAUCAGAGCUAAGUUCCCGGAAGCAUGAGGUCAUCUCUGGCGAGCUAACAACUUCCUCCUAACUCCAAAAUGAAGAUGCUUUCUCUUGGGAACCAAAACGAGCGAUUGCGAUUCGACGUUUCCAAGAGAAACAAUCUACGUUGAGGCCUGAAAAAUCAACUGUUACCAAGAGUGCCUCGUUCGACUGGACAGGAGCAUCCAUUAAAAAUUAUGAGAAUACGAGCUCGUUAUCAUCGUAUUAAUAAUAAUUCAUCGGAAGAGAAAUAACGUUGAGAUUGACCGGAGAUUGACGGGGGAAGAAUAAUAUACAAGACAAAGGAGUCCCAUAUGAAGGCACACGCACGGAAGUCAACUGUCCAUGGACGACAAAUCGUUUAACUCCAAUAUGACUCACGCUACGCUUCGUUGGACAAUAUAAUUAUUCUUAGAGUUAAUCAAAGCAGUUUGAAAUCUUAUCAGAAGGAUGGGAACACUUGGAAAUCAUCGGACCUUCAUCUUUAGAACCAUAGAAUACAGAAUUAUUAUCAAGAGGAUAUGAAACAAUAGGAAAUCAUGUAUAUCAUAAGAAAAUACAUUUAUUUGUAAAAUGUAACUGCGAAAAAGUGAGAAUGACAGAGAGAGAGAGAGAGAGAGAGAGAGAGAGAGAGAGAGAGAGAGAGAGAGAAAUUUUAUUACAGUUAUACUUAAUGGCAAAUUGUAUUGUAUAGCAUUACCAUUAAAUUAUUUAUAAAACUUUGCAUUAUAAACACAUUGUAUUAUAUUAUGUUAUAGCGCAAUUUUACAUGGUUCAGAGCGACUAAUUUUAUAAUUAUUGAAUAUAACGUAAUUCUCAUGAAAAAAAUGAAAAUGAAAAUAAACCCCAUUAA